UAUAUAUCUAUGCUAUAUACUAUCUAAUACUGGCUAUGCCUUGUUGUGAAUAGAAUGAAAGAGAGCUGUGGCUGAAUCCACUGUCGUCACGGAGUUAAAGGCAGUGAAUUCCAUUAAAAUGGUGGAGGACGUGGAGAUUUGAGAAGCGCUACUCACGGGAGGUCCGGUCCA